UUUUUCUUUCUUUUUCUUCUCCUCCUCUUCUCUUCUCCCGAUUUCUCCUUCCCCCUUUCUUCCCAUUUCUUCUCCCGUGGAGGGAGGAGGGCGAGCUCGGGAGGCUUGGGAGGAACGGGCUGCGGCCGAUGGCGCCCGGCGGCCGGCCUGCGGCGCCCACGACCACACCCGCGGCCGUGCCCGUGGUCGCGCUCGGGGGCGCAUCGGCGGCCUGCGGCCGCGUCUGCAUCCUGCUGCCGGCGACCCGCGUCCCACGGCCGACGACCCGCGGCCCACGGCCGAGGCCGGCGCCCGCGGUUGCGGAUCAACCACCGUGAUAGCGCUGAGAGCUGGUCGUCCGAGUCCAAGAGAAAAAAGCGGGAUCCCCAGGAACCGGAGCGAGGGUCAGUCGGCGUACCUCAGCUCUCAUUCUUUCCGAUAUUGAUUUCGGGCUCCACUCGCAGUGGGGAAGGGAGAGAUUGAGAGCGAGAGAGGGAGCGAUGGGCAAUUUGAUGAGUUCUUUCUUCAACAAGGAGCCUCCACCGCCCAUGGUGCUGGUUCCCCCCAUCUUCGACUUCCCUCCCCUCUCGGCGCGCACCAGGUUCUCUUCUUUUUCUUCUUUGGUUUCCCCUCCGGUUUUCAUGCUUUUCUUCUCUCUUUUUCUGAUUAUUCUCGAUUCAUUUAGGGACCAGAUGGCUUAUUUUUGUUGCCCUUGCUCGUCUCUGCUGAGAGUUCCUGUUUUUCUGCACUAAUCUUAGAAAUCCACUCACCCACACACACCAAACCCCCCGCGGGCCGUAUUUUUUAUGGUUUUGGGUUUAUUUUGAUGGAAUUUAGUCUGGUUCUUUGUACUUAAUAAUGUACCUCAGAAUGCAUGACACCUAUUUGGCUUUUUGGCGCAUGACAUUGUUUUUCAGAUACUUAUUGCUCCAACGUCUCGCCAUGUUGAAUUGAUAUACUUAUUGCUCCAAUGUCUCGCCAUGUUAAACUUUUUUGUAAGUUGGUGAUAUUAUUUGAUUA